rnacentral:misc_RNA from 1 species
UUUUGAUUCAAAACUUGCUGAACCAAUGGCCUUUCGGGAUGUAUUUAGCUGGAUGAAGGGUCGACAUCCACUUCAUGUAAUGAAAUGUUUGAAUCUGACUUUAAUAUUAGUUCAAGCUUUAAAGGGUUCUAGUUUUCUUGUUUCUUGCUUUGGGGUUGUGGUUCAAGAUUGUAAAUUUUUAUUGUUAGACUUUGAUUCAUGGUCUGCCUCUUUUGUUAAGAGGUUAGCGAACACUUG